ensembl:lncRNA
AGAUCAUUCAUCCGACUAAAUCUGUCCACUUCGUCCAAGCCGAUCUCUCUAGAAACCCUUGAACACAUCUUACUAAAUCCUGCCUCCAGGACACAGGAAGAAGGCAGCCACCUGUAAACCAGGAAGGGAGCCCUCCCCAGAAACCAAAGUGGCCAACAUCUUGACCUUGGACUUUCCAGCCUCCAGAACUGAGGAAUGAAUAAGCAACAGUGGCCUGCUGGCCUAACAGCCUCUGCCCGGUGUCUGGCAUCCAGAGACUGUUCCUGGCUGACCUUUUGGAGAAUGUCCAACCCUGAGAAAAUGGAAUCCAAAAGAAGAUACAGAAUCAGGCUCCAGGUUUUGGAGAUUGCACCACAUUGGCCACUGGAGUUAAAUAUGUUCAUAUCCAUCGGCUCUGUGCUCUGUCACGCAAAAUAUUAAAAUGAAAUUCAAGG